AAAUAAGAAGUUUCACACAUCAGAGUGGAAACAGAAAGUUAACUGCUUGUAAUUAGGAUAAUUUACCUCUGGUUCUUGGAAGAUAAAUACCUUUUCCCUUACUAAGUUUUACACUGAAUUUAGCAAUACUAUAAAACAUAUUGAGGGAAAUCUGUAUCUAAAACACCCACUGCCAGUGCAGUUGCCAAGAAUUGUUUCUUGCAGACUAGUACUAGUGAAUGCUGCCUGAAGAUUGGAACCUUUGCCCAGCACUGCUAUCCUGAGAUGAGCCAGCCAGGAAAUGGAAGAGUUGAUUUUGUUCAAACAAGCAAGCAGGAAAUCAACCUUUUGCAGUUGUUUGAAGUAGAGAGAGCCUUCAGCGAGGAAAGGAAAAUCAGAUGAUUUUGGAAAAUAUGGACAAUUUUCAACUGACUAGAAGCCCGGGGUCUCUGAAGUUCUGAAUCUGAAAUAGUAUAACAUUUUUGUGAAAAAAUAACUUGC
rnacentral:lncRNA from 1 species